rnacentral:miRNA from 1 species
GAGUUCCCUGCACUCCAAGUC